rnacentral:rRNA from 1 species
GACGAACGCUGGCGGCGUGCCUAAUACAUGCAAGUAGAACGCUGAAGAGAGGAGCUUGCUCUUCUUGGAUGAGUUGCGAACGGGUGAGUAACGCGUAGGUAACCUGCCUUGUAGCGGGGGAUAACUAUUGGAAACGAUAGCUAAUACCGCAUAACAAUGGAUGACACAUGUCAUUUAUUUGAAAGGGGCAAUUGCUCCACUACAAGAUGGACCUGCGUUGUAUUAGCUAGUAGGUGAGGUAAUGGCUCACCUAGGCGACGAUACAUAGCCGACCUGAGAGGGUGAUCGGCCACACUGGGACUGCGACACGGCCCAGACUCCUACGGGAGGCAGCAGUAGGGAAUCUUCGGCAAUGGGGGCAACCCUGACCGAGCAACGCCGCGUGAGUGAAGAAGGUUUUCGGAUCGUAAAGCUCUGUUGUAAGUCAAGAACGGGUGUGAGAGUGGAAAGUUCACACUGUGACGGUAGCUUACCAGAAAGGGACGGCUAACUACGUG